CGGGAAGAGCUCAAAUUUAAAAUCUGGCGGUUCCACCGUCCGAGUUGUAACCUGGAGAAGCGUUUUCCGUGCCGGACCGCAUACAAGUCCUCUGGAACGGGGCGUCAUAGAGGGUGAGAAUCCCGUCUUUGAUGCGGACUACCGGUGCUCUAUGAUGCGCUCUCGAA
rnacentral:rRNA from 1 species